ensembl:lncRNA
AUCGAACGCCGACUGACCGAUCCACGAAGUAUCCGCUGAUCGCCGCCUCGUUGACGGCGUUUGGCGGUUUCCAGGCAACCAGGACGUAGUCGGCGUUGACAUCAAACGCCUUCGCGCCAACCGGGGCGCCGGGGGCGCCGGGCGCAGGGGGGGGGGCAUCUAAGGGGGCAAGGAAACAAGGACAUAAGGUGGGGAAGGAGGAGGGAGGGAACAAAGAAACACUUUAAAUACACAAGUAAACGCUGCGCGUCCUCCUUCCUGGUUUGAGUCGUCGUGGCUCAUUUGUCUCUCGAGGAUCACAUGCUGAUCCCCGGCGUGUUCCGGUGAACGCGUGGAAGGAAGGAAACCUGAGACGAAGAGGUAGGCGCUGUGCUCGGCGGUGCCGUUCUUUGGUGAAGAUGCGGAGGGUGUAGAGGUCCUCGUCGUUCUUGGACAGGUGGGGCAGCGUCAGGCGGGUCGGGGACGACCACCAUGGUGCACGCCAGGCUGAUGGAGCCGCCCUCCACCCCGAAGCUCACGGAGAAGCGGUCGAGGAGGCUGACCUCCAGCUUACUGGCGUGGAUCUCCGUCAGGUGGGGCACUGAGCGGCGGGGGGGGAGGAGUUAAUAUCUGUCUGGUCUCCGUCCUCUGUCCUGUGUCCUCGCCCCUCUCACACUUACCUAACCCAAGCAGGCAGGACUCCCCGGAUCCUGCCGGUCCUGUGAGGGAAACAUGUGAGACGUGUGACAGGACGUGAGGCGGAGGACGUUAUCGUGCAGAGCGAGGGACUUACUCUUCACGGUGACGGUCGCCUUGCUGGUAGCCGAGCCGUGCGGGUUGGUGGCCACAGCGCUGUACUCGGCGGUAUCGCUCACAACGCACCUAACCCCCCCGGCCCGCACGAAGACGUGUCAAACUACAUGUACAUAGAUUUACACUUGAAUGUCCAAUAAAUAUCUGUUCAGCACUUCAUCAUUCUGCAAAACCUUUAGAAUUGUUUAAACAAUUUCCUAAGGUAAUAAUAAGGUGUCGCAUUCGUCCAUGUUGUCCGUUUUAGCGUCUCUCAUUCUGCCAAAGCUUUAAAAGUGAUGAAG